rnacentral:rRNA from 1 species
UACGUAGGGUGCAAGCGUUAAUCGGAAUUACUGGGCGUAAAGCGUGCGCAGGCGGUUAUGUAAGACAGGUGUGAAAUCCCCGGGCUUAACCUGGGAACUGCAUUUGUGACUGCAUAGCUAGAGUACGGUAGAGGGGGAUGGAAUUCCGCGUGUAGCAGUGAAAUGCGUAGAUAUGCGGAGGAACACCGAUGGCGAAGGCAAUCCCCUGGACCUGUACUGACGCUCAUGCGACGAAAGCGUGGGGAGCAAAC